UACGGGGGGGGGCAAGCGUUGUUCGGAAUUACUGGGCGUAAAGGGUGCGUAGGCGGUUCACUAAGUUGGAUGUGAAAACUAUGGGCUCAACUCAUAGCUUGCAUCCAAUACUGAUGGACUAGAGUUCUGGAGGGGGUAGCGGAAUUCCUGGUGUAGCGGUGAAAUGCGUAGAUAUCAGGAGGAACACCGGUGGCGAAGGCGGCUACCUGGACAGAGUCUGACGCUGAGGCACGAAAGCGUGGGUAGCAAACAGG
rnacentral:rRNA from 1 species